UUCCACAUGCCAGUAAGGCAACUCAAACUAACUUAAGCAAAACGCGGGUUUAUUGGCUAACUGGGAAACAUGGGUGAACCUAGCUUGAGGAUUAGUUGAUUCUGAACAUUCUGAUGAGGUCAGACUUCUUUUUCUUUUUUCUCCCUCUCUCCCUCUUUCCCGCACUACGGCAACUUUUAUAAACCUCAAGAAAAUCGUUGAUUGGUUCAGCUCAAGUCAUGUGAGUCCCCCUUGGACCACUCGCAGAGGCCAGAGUGCUGCGGUUGGCUAGACCUGAGUCACAUGACUCCCAGUGGCUAGGAGGUCCUGCUCUGUGCUGGUGCUGCAUAGACAGCCGUAGUUGGCCCAGGGAGAGAGCAGGUGCGGAGAAGGGGUAGGGCCCAGGGGUCCCCCGUGGGGAGGGGACUGUGAUGUUGCUGAAAGGGAGGGGGAGAGAUGCCAACGAUAUGCAGCCCACUUCCUGACUAGGGGAGCAUCACACAGAGGAGGUUGAACAACAAACCCGUGUGUGGUCAGAAUAGAGCCAGUUGACGGUGAGCUCCAGGAGUUCAGAACAGCAGGGUCCCCUGAGAGCCUGGGGGUCAGGCGUCUUCCUUAAAGCCAGCUUCCCGGCACCUGAGAUUUACCUUUGUUCAGUCUGGGGGAACGUAACCUAGGCCUGGAAGAACAGGGGGUUAGGUAAGAAAUGGGGAGGGGGCUCUAAGCUGGGAACUGUGUGGACCCAGGGAAUGUUUGGCGGUCAGCAAGCUGACCAGUGCCGCCACAGGAAGAGCUGGCGCGUGAAACUGGGCGAUACGUUUGGAAGUACGGACCUGGUUCCAGGUUUUGUGACCCGAAUUCAGCUGUGGGAAGUGAGUCUGAGGCAUUCGAUGGCGUCUCACGCUGCCUUGCUUGAAGAAUGUCUUCACGUUGCUUGAGAGUGACAAGCGAGAUAUGUAAUCACGUUCAAAUGACAUCAUUAGGGUGUCCCCUCAUCCAACAGGACAGUGGCAUUAUAAACUGGAAAUCUGGAUACUGAGACAGACUCACACAGGGCGUACACCACAUGAACACGAAGACAGAGACCACGGUGAUGCAUCUAUGAGCCAAGAGAUGCCAAGGGAUGCCAAGGACUGCCAGCCAGCCCGCAGAAGCGAGGAGCGAGGUGUGGAACAGACUUUCCCUCACAGCCCCCAGAAACAGCCAACUCUGCCAACACCAGACUUCCAGUCUCCAGAACUGUGACAGAAUACAUUUCUGUUGUUUAAGCCACCCGCUUUGUGGUGCUUCAAGGCAGUCCGAGGAAGCGCAGACAGACCGCCAUGAUUACCCUUGUGGGCCCCCAGGAUCUGGAGCUCCCGGGGAUGGAAUCCGAGGGGAGGGCCCAGGGCGACAGCGAGUAUUCCAUGACAGGCCGAAGUUGAUCAUAUCUGAUUCCUGAAGCCACUGGCUUUUUCUGUGCCUCCCUCUUGGAAAGGCCGCUUCUAGGAGAGAGGACCCUAAGAAGCGCCUUUAGCACAGGGGACCAAGAGCAAGUGGACUUGACUCCUCAGCCAGAGGCAAAAGCAGAUUAUCUGUACAGUCAUUCGGUCCUAAUGUCUGGAGGUCAGCCGUCCCCACAUUUCCCAGGUGCUCCUGACCAGGAGAAUGAAUGCUGGUGUGAAGAAGCCAACUUGUGAGAGGAAUGUCUGUGGAUGGAACCAGAUUUUGGGGGUGCCCUUGGGAUCUGGUACCACCUGAAAGUGACCCAGCAAAAGGCACGGAAUCCUAAGAGCCGCAGGGGCCUUUACGAGUGGUGCUGCCAGCAUCACUCAGUUCACAAGGAAAAGAAGGGAAGCUCCGGGAGGAACGGGCAGUGACACUCCCCACCGAAGAGAACCGGUGACCCGAUGGAUUAUUUGAUCCUAGAGCGCCGGCUCUACGCUUUGGGAGGAAACGGCAAGAUCGUCAGGCCCUUUGCUUAUGGCCACUCUUCUACCAAGUGGAUGCCCAGCCUCUCCCUGGACCCUGCCCAGGACGCAGAACCUUUUGCCUUCACAGUGGUCAUCCUUUUCUAUCCUGGGGACAACUUGGAAGGGUAAAUAGUAAUAUCUAAUUCCUUAGCAAAGUCUGCUUUUUUAUUGCUUUACCCAUUGGGGAAACAUGAAAAAAUUAGAAUUCUCUUCCCACAUGAUACUUUUCUGUUUCUGCGUCUCUUUAAUUUUCCCGUUAGGGAUUUCCCUAAGCCCCGAGGCCUCAGGAGAGAAUAAUGCUGUACUCCGUGAGAAAGAAAAACAAGCACCGAGAUCGUGAUUUAUUAUCUUAAUAAUAUUUGAGUCAAACUUUCUUUUCUUGAGAGGGGGCGUGGUCUGAUUUUAAUUAGAAUUGGGAAGAGUAAAACGUGGUGGCAGGGAGAGGGACGAAGCGGUUUCCCAGGGGACCGGGA